GACGAACCGUGCGAACGUUGUUCGGAUUCACUGGGCUUAAAGGGCGCGUAGGCGGGCCGGCCAGUCUGUGGUGAAAGCCCCCAGCUCAACUGGGGAAGUGCCGUGGAUACUGCCGGUCUGGAGGAGGGUAGGGGCAUCUGGAACGCUGGGUGGAGCGGUGAAAUGCGUUGAUAUCCAGCGGAACUCCGGUGGCGAAGGCGAGGUGCUGGACCCUUUCUGACGCUGAUGCGCGAAAGCUAGGGGAGCAAACGGG
rnacentral:rRNA from 1 species